ensembl:lncRNA
CACCACCACCCCAAAAACAAAAGGAGGAGAAGUAGUGAGGGCAAGAUUCAUACUGAAUUCAAAGAGAGUGUUCACUUCCAUACAUUUAAGACUGUUUCUUUUUCAAAACAUUUUAUUUUCAAAAAGCGAGUUAUGUAUUCAGACACUAAAAAGACAAGGAAAGAGAAAGAUGAUCACAUUCUCUGCAUAGUUAUCUGAAAAAUACACAAAAUCUUUUGGGGGAAUUUAUGUGCACGAGUGUUUUAAAACGGUAACAGGAGAAGACACCCAUAUACAGAUUUGUUUAAAUAUCAUUCAAGCAAUGCCUUCUCAGCUGAGCUGCUGCUUCUCUGGUGGAAACCAUCUCUUUGUGAAGUCAGAUAGUGUUUGAGGCUGUAACUGGAGCACUGAUGGAGGUUCUGUGUUCCAGCUACUUCAAUGCAGGAAUCACAUACAUCUUCCUCUCUCACCUCUCCACGUUGUGACCUUUCUGAGAAGGCUGCCACAUACCUCUUCAUUCUAACGUUGAGCUAACAGCACAAAGCACUUACGACUUGUAUGUAAGAGAUGAUGAUGGGAAAAGGAUGAAGUGACAUAGUCAGUAAGCUCUUGGAAAUAAGAGCUGUACUCUGAGAGAGUCCCAGUCCUGACUUAAGUUGGUUCUGAUCAGAUCGAUGUAAAACAUUUCUGCCCUUGGAAGUUUUUUUUUUCCUUUCUGUUUGGCACAUCAGGGAAUGUUGAAAAUUUAGACAUGAAAAAUACAAUGAUGAAGAGAUGACAAGCCAACAACAAUGAAUUCCAUCUAAAUACAUUUGCAACAAACAUUCUUAUCACUGUAAAAAUCACAUGCACGUAAGUCAACAUCAAAAGCCAUCGAGCAACAAUAACUCAGAUGACUUAAGGGCUAUGUACAAAAAACCCCACCGGUCUAUUUUACAACUGGUAAGAAAUUUGUCAAAUAAAAAGAAGCAGUCAAAUCCAACUCCAGGCAGUGGGAUUUGGAUACAAGGGAGAAAGGGGAAAUUUGUGCUGGUUGAAGAAGAACAGAAGCCAUCUGAAUCCAAAAGGCAUCAUUCUACAGUAUCACCAGUUAGAGAUGACCCAAGUGCUAUGAAGUCACACAGGCUACAGAGGAGCUUGUAGCAUUACUAUCUGAGGCAGGGACAAUGAUGUUCUUUCUGGUUGCAGUCAAGGGCAGUUUCAAGGCAGGACUGUUUCCAGAAGACAGGUGUUCCUCAUGAACAAGAUCCCUAGUUUUCACUCAGCCUCUUUCCUUCUGGAAAGAUUUGGCUUUUCUUAAACCCUGUCUUCUGCAUCACAGCCGACUUCAUCUUCAAAAGUAGAACCAUGAUGCUUUGCUAAUUCAUGACCCAUCAAGGCCUUCGUUGCCCCAGAACAGCCAAGGAGGCCACCACAUUUGCUUUACAAGGGGCCCACCCAGUAUUAUCCUUCAAAGGAAGAGCAAAUCACCAGGAAGUAACCCUGGCAGCUGUGUCAGAGGUGUUCCAUGUAUGAUCCAAAGUUUAUCUCUUGAACACCUAUGCAGUAAGAUCAGCACUGAGUCUUCAGC